rnacentral:tRNA from 1 species
GCUCCCAUGGCGUAGUGGUCACUGUGCUUGCCUUGCAUGCGGGAGACCCGGGUUCAAUUCCCGGUGGGGUCA